rnacentral:rRNA from 1 species
AUUUUUUUAAGAAAAUUUUAUUUAAAAUAAAACCUGCUCAAUGUUUAUUCAUAAAUAGCUGCAGAAUAUCUGUACUAAGGUAGCAUAAUCAUUAGCUUUUUAAUUAAAAGAUAGAAUGAAUGGUCAAACGAAAUAAACCCUGUUUCUAAAAACUUAAUUAAAUUAAAAUAAAAGUAAAAAUUCUUUUAACUUUAAGAAAGACGACAAGACCCUAAAAACUUAAAUUUUAGCUGGGGCGGCAAAUAAACAAACCUUAAAUCAUAAUACAAAAACUUCUAAACACUUAUAUUUACUAAGUUACUAUAGGGAUAACAGCGCUACUUUAGUUUAAAGUUCUUAUUUUAACUAAAACCUACGACCUCGAUGUUGAAUUAAUUUAACUAUUAAAAGCAAAAAAUUAUUAAGAAGGUCUGU